rnacentral:rRNA from 1 species
UGGGCGGCUGCUUACCAUGCAGUCGAGCGGGGGAAGGUAGCUUGCUACCGGACCUAGCGGCGGACGGGUGAGUAAUGCUUAGGAAUCUGCCUAUUAGUGGGGGACAACAUCUCGAAAGGGAUGCUAAUACCGCAUACGUCCUACGGGAGAAAGCAGGGGAUCUUCGGACCUUGCGCUAAUAGAUGAGCCUAAGUCGGAUUAGCUAGUUGGUGGGGUAAAGGCCUACCAAGGCGACGAUCUGUAGCGGGUCUGAGAGGAUGAUCCGCCACACUGGGACUGAGACACGGCCCAGACUCCUACGGGAGGCAGCAGUGGGGAAUAUUGGACAAUGGGGGGAACCCUGAUCCAGCCAUGCCGCGUGUGUGAAGAAGGCCUUAUGGUUGUAAAGCACUUUAAGCGAGGAGGAGGCUACUUUAGUUAAUACCUAGAGAUAGUGGACGUUACUCGCAGAAUAAGCACCGGCUAACUCUGUGCCAGCAGCCGCGGUAAUACAGAGGGUGCGAGCGUUAAUCGGAUUUACUGGGCGUAAAGCGUGCGUAGGCGGCUUAUUAAGUCGGAUGUGAAAUCCCCGAGCUUAACUUGGGAAUUGCAUUCGAUACUGGUGAGCUAGAGUAUGGGAGAGGAUGGUAGAAUUCCAGGUGUAGCGGUGAAAUGCGUAGAGAUCUGGAGGAAUACCGAUGGCGAAGGCAGCCAUCUGGCCUAAUACUGACGCUGAGGUACGAAAGCAUGGGGAGCAAACAGGAUUAGAUACCCUGGUAGUCCAUGCCGUAAACGAUGUCUACUAGCCGUUGGGGCCUUUGAGGCUUUAGUGGCGCAGCUAACGCGAUAAGUAGACCGCCUGGGGGAGUACGGUCGCAAGACUAAAACUCAAAUGAAUUGACGGGGGCCCGCACAAGCGGUGAGAACUUGGGGUUUAAUUCGAUGCAACGCGAAGAACCUUACCUGGGCCUUGACAUACUAGAAACUUUCAGAGAGAUUGGAUUGGUGCCUUCGGGAAUCUAAAAUACAGGUGCCUGGCAUGGCUGUCGUCAGCUCUGUCGUC